rnacentral:lncRNA from 1 species
GGUGCAGUUAUCGUAUGAUUCAGUUCUUUUAUCGUGAGUUCGGACUUGACGGAGAUCAUGGAGAAUUCGUCAGACCCUAUCGUCAGUCAUAUAUUAGAUUGGCUCGACUUGAGUUCAUUUAUGAAUCCUGUAAAUUUUUUUUUCAGUAUUCACACUUGCUUUGGCUAAAGACUUUUCGAACUCAGUCUCGCAAAUCGUAUAGAACUUUUUCUUUUCUACCAAGAUCGAUAGAUUCUUUCUAGGUGCAUCCUACUCCAAACAGCGAAUCUGAACCUACUGAAAUCAACAUA